rnacentral:sRNA from 1 species
UCGCAUCGCCACGCGUAAUCCGCAGCGAGC